rnacentral:rRNA from 1 species
UCUACUAAUCUUUUUGAUUAGUUAGAAAUGUAGCGUAUAGGUAUAACAAAAUAUUUAGUCGAUUGUUUUAUGCACCCAAAGUCCCCUUGAGUGGGGCCAUGAUCCAUAGAAGGUGCGAGACCUGUACGGGUGAUGAAUCAAUCGAUGAGUUAUACUUUGGAGUCGAGUUGUUUGAGAUUGCAGCUCAAAGUGGGUGGUAGAUUUCAUCUAAGGCUAAAUAUUGCCACGAGA